rnacentral:rRNA from 1 species
CAUUACCGAGUGAGGGCCCUCUGGGUCCAACCUCCCACCCAUGUUUAUUGUACCUUGUUGCUUCGGCGGGCCCGCCUCACGGCCGCCGGGGGGCUUCUGCCCUCUGGCCCGCGCCCGCCGAAGACACCAUUGAACACUGUCUGAAGAUUGCAGUCUGAGCAAUUAGCUAAAUAAGUUAAAACUUUCAACAACGGAUCUCUUGGUUCCGGCAUCGAUGAAGAACGCAGCGAAAUGCGAUACGUAAUGUGAAUUGCAGAAUUCAGUGAAUCAUCGAGUCUUUGAACGCACAUUGCGCCCCUUGGUAUUCCGGGGGGCAUGCCUGUCCGAGCGUCAUUGCUGCCCUCAAGCACGGCUUGUGUGUUGGGCCCCGUCCUCCUUCCCGGGGGACGGGCCCGAAAGGCAGCGGCGGCACCGCGUCCGGUCCUCGAGCGUAUGGGGCUUUGUCACCCGCUCUUGUAGGCCCGGCCGGCGCUUGCCGACAACCAUCAAUCUUUUUUCAGGUUGACCUCGGAUCAGGUAGGGAUACCCGCUGAACUUAAGCAUAUCAAUAGCG